rnacentral:rRNA from 1 species
ACGAACGCUGGCGGCGUGCUUAACACAUGCAAGUCGAACGGAAAGGCCCUGCUUGCAGGGUACUCGAGUGGCGAACGGGUGAGUAACACGUGGGUGAUCUGCCCUGCACUUCGGGAUAAGCCUGGGAAACUGGGUCUAAUACCGGAUAGGAGCCAUUCUUAGUGUGAUGGUUGGAAAGUUUUUUCGGUGUAGGAUGAGCUCGCGGCCUAUCAGCUUGUUGGUGGGGUAAUGGCCUACCAAGGCGGCGACGGGUAGCCGGCCUGAGAGGGUGGACGGCCACAUUGGGACUGAGAUACGGCCCAGACUCCUACGGGAGGCAGCAGUGGGGAAUAUUGCACAAUGGGCGCAAGCCUGAUGCAGCGACGCCGCGUGGGGGAUGACGGCCUUCGGGUUGUAAACUCCUUUCGCUAGGGACGAAGCUUUUUGUGACGGUACCUAGAUAAGAAGCACCGGCUAACUACGUG